rnacentral:tRNA from 1 species
GGGGAUAUGGCGAAAUCGGUAGACGCUACGGAC